UACGUAGGGGGCAAGCGUUGUCCGGAAUCAUUGGGCGUAAAGCGCGCGUAGGCGGCCCGGUAAGUCCGCUGUAAAAGUCCAGGGCUCAACCCUGGAAAGCCGGUGGAUACUGCCGGGCUAGAGUCCGGAAGAGGCGAGUGGAAUUCCUGGUGUAGCGGUGAAAUGCGCAGAUAUCGGGAAGAACACCCGUGGCGAAGGCGGCUCUCUGGGACGGUACUGACGCUGAGACGCGAAAGCGUGGGGA
rnacentral:rRNA from 1 species